rnacentral:rRNA from 1 species
AUUGAACGCUGGCGGCAGGCUUAACACAUGCAAGUCGAGCGAGCGGCGGACGGGUGAGUAAUGUCUGGGAAACUGCCUUAUGGCGGGGGAUAACUACUGGAAACGGUAGCUAAUACCGCAUACCAUCAGAUGUGCCCAGAUGGGAUUAGCUAGUAGGUGGGGUAAUGGCUCACCUAGGCGACGAUCCCUAGCUUGUCUGAGAGGAUGACCAGCCACACUGGAACUGAGACACGGUCCAGACUCCUAAGGGAGGCAGCAGUGGGGAAUAUUGCACAAUGGGGGAAAGCCUGAUGCAGCAAGGCCGCGUGAGUGAAGAAGGCCUUCGGGUUGUAAAGCACUUUCAGCGAGGAGGCGUUACUCGCAGAAGAAGCACCGGCUAACUCCGUGCCAGCAGCCGCGGUAAUAG